GUGCUUUGGAGUUGAAACUAAUGAAGCUGACUUAGUGGCUGGAGUAGCUGGAAUUCCUUUGUGUUGUUGUUCAGGUGCUUUUCUGCUGAUCUGUGAUUCCUCUUCUGGCUCUGGGCAUCUAUUGCUGGCACUGGCACCAAACUGAUAGGAGUGGGAUGGACUGAAGUUCACUUCUCCUGGCAUCUUUAGAUUAAAGCCCUUCUCACCAGCUUGGCAAGCCUGUGGCAGAAGGUGGCCUUCCCCUGUUCUGACAGAUGGAUCCUGUCAGCCCUCAGUAGACCCAAUUUCUGAAAGCAAGUCCCAUGGUCAAAGCAGACAAACCCCUGGAUGGGACACAGCCCCAGAGGCAUUUGUUGAUUCACCAGAUUUGACUGGCCCUUUCAAACACCUUCCCUUUGACUGUGAGCAUUGAUGAAAGACUGCCUGUGGAAUCUUAAAAAUUUUUAGCUUAGGAAAAAUCUGAAUGUUGGUAUUUAUUAUGUUUGCUUUUUGGAUUUGCGAUACAAGGAUUGUGUAUCUUUUUUGAUUCACCUUUAUUGUUCUGGUUUUGCAACCAAAUUAUUCUUGCCAGCAUACUUUUAGAUUUGUGUGGAUCUGAAAGAUGCUGCCUCUUAGUGAGAUCUUAUUUUACAAGAUAUGCAGGUAAGCUUUGAAACUGGACAGUACAUCUUAACAUUUGCUUAGCAGCAUGAAGGCACUAGUUAAGGCUACUUUUUCCCUUUUAGUGUUCCACCUUGAAUAAUUGAAAGCAUAAACAUAACACGUUAGUUAUUACAAUGCAUUGUUAGUGAAGACUCAUGGCAGAAGGAAUACUUUUUAUACUUGUGCUUGACUCACUAGUGCCUGGUGCAAAAGCACAGUUGCAUCUCAGUUCUUGAUUCUCUAAAGCUCUUGAUAUCUGAAAAGAGCAGGAUUUGGGAAAGAAUCAUAUUCUACAGAGUCUUAGGGUGAUGUGGAUGGAAUAGGACCUCCAAAGGCCUUAGCGUACCUUUCAGUCAGAUUAUAGACAGCUUUAAGCAGUUACUCAAAAAAUUGUCCAUGUAAAUUAAAAAAAAUCAAAUGGAACAAAAUCUCUGUUCUUUGCUGUUCCGUUUGGCGAUCCUCACUGUGGAUUUGCUUCCUUAAUUUGUAACUAGGCUUUAAACAUACUACAGUCUAUGUCUCUUGCCUUUUUCCCUGUUAGCUGUGUAACUCUGAAGAGGGUUCUGGCUUCAUCUUCUUUAUACUGUGGCGUUAAGCUGUUAAAGAUAUGUUUAUAAUUUCUUUAGCAUAUGUUAUUAAUUUCUGUUUGUGAAGUAUCUGGUAACAUGCACAGUUUAAUUUGGAAUUUGGGCACAUGGUGGGGUUCUUUGGGGCUGUCUUGUGCAGGGCCAGCAGUUGGACUCGAUGAUCCUUGUGGGUCCCUUCCACUUCUGCAUAUUCUAUGAUUCUGUGACUGUAUGGUUAUGCCUCUGUAUAUGUCAUGUCCUUGAGUCAACUCUGAGUUACCUCCUAGUCCAUUUUUUUUGAUGGAUGCACGCUUGGUUUAAAGUAUAAUAAGGCCUUUUUAAAAACCCAGGAGCAGCUAAGUGCCUUUUCAAAUGAUCCUUGAUUUGUUAUAUAAUGGUAAAACUUCUGCUUCUUUUAAUUUCUGCCAAACUCUUAAAACAUCAGAACCAAUUUCUGAAAUUUUGACUCAUAAUUUGAUUCAGUUGCCUUGUCUGCUGGUCCUGUAAGUUGCACUGGAUUGGUAUACUGAUAAAUCAAGGUCCUUUUUAUUCAGAAGAUAUUCCAGAUAUUCCACAUACCUGUGGAAACUUGCCUAUUUGUGACAUUUUUCUGAUUACAGGCAGCAAACCUGUGUUUGUGUGCCAAGAAGACUAUUAGUCUUUGUGGAUGGUAAUGCCAGUGAGGUCUGUCGGAUCAAUUAUCUUGCCCUCCUCUGAUUCAUGUCAGUAGGCAAGUGCAUCCAUGGACAUCUAAAAUAAAAGCUUUUCAUACCAAAAGUAUUUUAAGAGGAUUAAUGCACAUCUUCAGCAAGAAGUGAAGCACGCUGUACCCUUUUCUGGUCCUAGGAUUGAAGUCCAUAUCCUUUGCACAAAGAUUUAAAAGAAUAGCCCAUCUUGGUCUGCAAAGCCACAUUGCUCAAUGUUUGGAAACUUUUUUUAGAGGAUGGGCUGAAGGAUAUUGCAUAAUGCUGCAGGCUUGCAGCUCUGUGGUUGGAUACAGGUUCCAUUUCUAUUCUGCUAUGGUGCUGCCUAACACAUACCUAGAGAAUAUAUUCAUGUUGAUGCAAAUCUGAGAUUGCCUGGUGACAAAAUACAAUUGGUCCGUGGAGAAAGAAGCCAUGGCAAAAGAAUCCCCAACUGCCUGAGCAGCUUCAGAAUGGUUUGGUUUAUUUUCUCUGGUCACAGAACCACAAAAUGGUUGGGGUUGGA